rnacentral:tRNA from 1 species
GCCAACGUAGCUCAGUGGCAGAGCGGGCGCUUCAUAAGCGCUAGGUCAUAGGUUCGAAACCUAUCGUUGGCA